CUGGAAUGGUUCCUGACUAAAAUCUAUAUGGCCUCUGGAUUGGACUGCGGCCGAUCAGGCUGUUGGUGAGGUAAUGGCCCACCAAACCUGUAACCGGUACGGGCUCUGAGAGGAGGAGCCCGGAGAUGGGCACUGAGACAAGGGCCCAGGCCCUAUGGGGCGCAGCAGGCGCGAAACCUCUGCAAUAGGCGAAAGCCUGACAGGGUUACUCUGAGUGACUUUCGCUAAGAAAGUCUUUUGGCACCUCUAAAAAGGGUGCAGAAUAAGGGGUGGGCAAGUCUGGUGUCAGCCGCCGCGGUAAUACCAGCACCCCGAGUGGUCGGGACGUUUAUUGGGCCUAAAGCAUCCGUAGCCGGUUCUACAAGUCUUCCGUUAAAUCCACCUGCUUAACAGAUGGGCUGCGGAAGAUACUAUAGAGCUAGGAGGCGGGAGAGGCAAGCGGUACUCGAUGGGUAGGGGUAAAAUCCGUUGAUCCAUUGAAGACCACCAGUGGCGAAGGCGGCUUGCCAGAACGCGCUCGACGGUGAGGGAUGAAAGCUGGGGGAGCAAACCGGAUUAGAUACCCGGGUAGUCCCAGCUGUAAACGAUGCAGACUCGGUGAUGAGUUGGCUUAUUGCUAACUCAGUGCCGCAGGGAAGCCGUUAAGUUUGCCGCCUGGGGAGUACGGUCGCAAGACUGAAACUUAAAGGAAUUGGCGGGGGAGCACCACAAGGGGUGAAGCCUGCGGUUCAAUUGGACUCAACGCCGGU
rnacentral:rRNA from 1 species